UGCGCCGUGGCGGCCUGGCCCUAUACAUGCAGUCGAACGAACUCUGGUAUUGAUUGGUGCUUGCAUCAUGAUUUACAUUUGAGUGAGUGGCGAACUGGUGAGUAACACGUGGGAAACCUGCCCAGAAGCGGGGGAUAACACCUGGAAACAGAUGCUAAUACCGCAUAACAACUUGGACCGCAUGGUCCGAGUUUGAAAGAUGGCUUCGGCUAUCACUUUUGGAUGGUCCCGCGGCGUAUUAGCUAGAUGGUGGGGUAACGGCUCACCAUGGCAAUGAUACGUAGCCGACCUGAGAGGGUAAUCGGCCACAUUGGGACUGAGACACGGCCCAAACUCCUACGGGAGGCAGCAGUAGGGAAUCUUCCACAAUGGACGAAAGUCUGAUGGAGCAACGCCGCGUGAGUGAAGAAGGGUUUCGGCUCGUAAAACUCUGUUGUUAAAGAAGAACAUAUCUGAGAGUAACUGUUCAGGUAUUGACGGUAUUUAACCAGAAAGCCACGGCUAACUACGUGCCAGCAGCCGCGGUAAUACGUAGGUGGCAAGCGUUGUCCGGAUUUAUUGGGCGUAAAGCGAGCGCAGGCGGUUUUUUAAGUCUGAUGUGAAAGCCUUCGGCUCAACCGAAGAAGUGCAUCGGAAACUGGGAAACUUGAGUGCAGAAGAGGACAGUGGAACUCCAUGUGUAGCGGUGAAAUGCGUAGAUAUAUGGAAGAACACCAGUGGCGAAGGCGGCUGUCUGGUCUGUAACUGACGCUGAGGCUCGAAAGUAUGGGUAGCAAACAGGAUUAGAUACCCUGGUAGUCCAUACCGUAAACGAUGAAUGCUAAGUGUUGGAGGGUUUCCGCCCUUCAGUGCUGCAGCUAACGCAUUAAGCAUUCCGCCUGGGGAGUACGGCCGCAAGGCUGAAACUCAAAGGAAUUGACGGGGGCCCGCACAAGCGGUGGAGCAUGUGGUUUAAUUCGAAGCUACG
rnacentral:rRNA from 1 species